rnacentral:rRNA from 1 species
AUGGCUUCUAAGUCGACGAUUCGCCGGUUCGUGAACCUGAUCGUGGACGACGGCAUCCCCGGAGCCAGAUCGCUGCGCCGCAUCGACCUCACGCGCCACAAGCUGUUCAACACCACGGUGCCCGUGCUGCCCCUGGACGGAGACGCCGCGCCCGCAACUGCCGACGACCGCAAGACCAAGAAUAUGCGGACGAUCAAGCUUCCCGCCGCAGACUUCAACUUCCAGGGCUCGGGUUCGAGCCUCUACUGGUGCAUCCAAUGCUUCCCGCUCGCCGGCCGCAAGGUGCUCUGCGUCGACCAGUGCCGCCGCACCUCGCUCUUCGACGCCGACACGAAGCAGGUGGACGACAUCCCCUACCUUGACACGCCCAAGCGCAUGCCCGUCUCCAUCUUCGUCCCUGGCGCCGACGACCGUGUGACGAGAGCAUCUACAUGUUGGAGGGUCGUCCCGGUAGGGAAGAGACAGUCACAGGAGGUGACGGAAACAGCUCAGCCAUCAGUACGAGAUCUUUGUGUACCGCAGGCAGACCCACCUUGA